rnacentral:rRNA from 1 species
UACGUAGGUGGCAAGCGUUGUCCGGAUUUAUUGGGUUUAAAGGGUGCGUAGGCGGCUUUGUAAGUCAGUAGUGAGAUACCCCAGCUCAACUGGGGGGGUGCUAUUGAUACUGCAUGGCUUGAGUACAGAUGAGGUAGGCGGAAUUGACGGUGUAGCGGUGAAAUGCAUAGCUAUCGUCAAGAACACCGAUGGCGAAGGCAGCCCCCUGGGUUAACACUGACGCUCAUGCACGAAAGCGUGGGGAGCAAACAGG